rnacentral:lncRNA from 1 species
GCAUUUGUAAAUCAAUUUUACCCUAAAAAUUGAAGCGCGCCACUAGUUUUCACUUUCACUUUCGUCUUCUCCGCUCUUCAUUUCAACGUUCUGUUUCAGCUCUCCCUUUGCAUUGUAAGUUUCAGCUCUCUCCGCUUCAACGUUUGUUUUCGUUUUCGUUUUUGUCAUUGUCAUUAUUCACUUCCUUGGCAUUGUCAUUUCGUUUCCUCUAACUCGUUUUUGUCAUAUAGGUGGUUACUGUUCUAUCGGGUUCGCCAGUUUUUUCUGCUCCGCCACUGCCACUGUCAUAGUCGAAAACUUCCGCCACCGCCUGCGCCUUCGUCUUCGUCUUCGUCCUCGUCUUCGUCUUGUGCCUCUGCCACUCCGAUCACCAUCAACCUAAAG